AAAAGAAAAAAAAAUCACAUUUUCUUCCCCCUUCUAUGCAUGUUUUUCGAAAUCCUCUACAACUACUUUUUCUUAUCACGCUCUUCUUCUCAAGAUCUCACUCCUCCGUCGCAACCGACGAGGAUCCCGACCGUUGACACCGCAAGCUGUCAGUUGCCCACCCCUACAGCUCUGAUCCAUGAUCCAUCUUCAUCGACGCUCCUUGAUUGUCUUUGCUCCGUUGUCACCCCCUAUGGCUAGAAUAAGAAAACUCACCAUCGUCUUUGCUCCGACAAGGACCUCGCCGACUGCAAGCUCAAUGUCUACAACCUCGGCUAGGAGAUCGACUGCCCAAAAUCACCCUCAAUGUUCGUUCUUUGUCCUACAAAUGAGUGUCUUUUAAUUCUUCAAACUGCAUCGGGUACAAUUAUGGCAUACAUACAUAUUUAUACAUCAAAUCGAUCCUAGAAGGAAAGGAGACCAUGGACAUUGAAGCUUUAUAAAGGGAGUCUGAAAUGUUAAGAGGCAGGACUUGCUGCUCAAAUUAUAUGUGAUGGCCGAGAAUUAAGAAGCUGGGAUUGAAGUUAGAUGUAAAUAAUCCUUAAUAUCUUUUAUAUUUUGGAUACAAUGAUGCACUAUUGAUUGAGUAAAAUUAUUAGACAAACACGUACAAUAUAAUUCUAUGUUGGAUAUGACUAGUUUCUUU